rnacentral:rRNA from 1 species
CUUGCUCUGGUGGCGAGUGGCGAACGGGUGAGUAAUAUAUCGGAACGUACCCUAGAGUGGGGGAUAACGUAGCGAAAGUUACGCUAAUACCGCAUACGAUCUAAGGAUGAAAGUGGGGGAUCGCAAGACCUCAUGCUCGUGGAGCGGCCGAUAUCUGAUUAGCUAGUUGGUAGGGUAAAAGCCUACCAAGGCAUCGAUCAGUAGCUGGUCUGAGAGGACGACCAGCCACACUGGAACUGAGACACGGUCCAGACUCCUACGGGAGGCAGCAGUGGGGAAUUUUGGACAAUGGGCGAAAGCCUGAUCCAGCAAUGCCGCGUGAGUGAAGAAGGCCUUCGGGUUGUAAAGCUCUUUUGUCAGGGAAGAAACGGUGAGAGCUAAUAUCUUUUGCUAAUGACGGUACCUGAAGAAUAAGCACCGGCUAACUACGUGCCAGCAGCCGCGGUAAUACGUAGGGUGCAAGCGUUAAUCGGAAUUACUGGGCGUAAAGCGUGCGCAGGCGGUUUUGUAAGUCUGAUGUGAAAUCCCCGGGCUCAACCUGGGAAUUGCAUUGGAGACUGCAAGGCUAGAAUCUGGCAGAGGGGGGGUAGAAUUCCACGUGUAGCAGUGAAAUGCGUAGAUAUGUGGAGGAACACCGAUGGCGAAGGCAGCCCCCUGGGUCAAGAUUGACGCUCAUGCACGAAAGCGUGGGGAGCAAACAGGAUUAGAUACCCUGGUAGUCCACGCCCUAAACGAUGUCUACUAGUUGUCGGGUCUUAAUUGACUUGGUAACGCAGCUAACGCGUGAAGUAGACCGCCUGGGGGAGUACGGUCGCAAGAUUAAAACUCAAAGGAAUUGACGGGGACCCGCACAAGCGGUGG